rfam:Homo sapiens chromosome 1, GRCh38 reference primary assembly.
GUCUCUGUGGUGCAAUCGGUUAGCGCGUUCGGCUGUUAACCAUAAGGUUGGUGGUUAGAGACCACCCAGGGACG